UGCCACUGCACUCUACCCGAGUGACACGGUGAGACUGUCUCAAAAAAAAAAAAAAAUAUAUAUAUAUAUAUAUAUAUGUGUAUAUAUAGUACUGUUUUCUCCCCCAGAGGAAUAGCUUUAUUUUUCCUUAUAAGAAGACCAAUUUUGCUUACAAAUAAUAUUUACAGUAUAUAGAAUGGCAGUGAAGACAACAUCUGCCUUUUUUCUGUGCAUACAUAAUUGUCUUUUUUUUUUUUUUUUGAGGAAUGUGAGCCAGCGUUUUAUUCAUUCAUUCCUUGCAUGUGAAACGCUCCUCGGUGACGUCCUUGGCCCGAGAUUCUUUGCCAUAGUCCGUAACUGCUACACCACUGCCAUUGGCCCGUUCGGAGGGUCUCCACUGUUGGUCGGUUUUACGGAGCCCGUACCCAUUCCCCUCGUUUCUCGUUGUCAUCAACCUUAAUUAGUUUGAUCUGGUGUUCAGCACCCAGCGUGGCACACGCAGGCUCAUUAUAGUUGGCUGCAAGCACACCAGGAUGGGCUCAGCGCUUAUCUGAGGCUUUGGCAGCUUUGCAAAUUCCACGUGCUAGGCCACUGUGGAUGAGGGGCGACCUUCAGCACCCCUUGUAAAGCAGUGUUAAUGUCUAUUACGCCGCCGGCAGCAAUGUCUUGCUCGACCAUGGCGGUGGGUCACAGGUACAGUAGUGCAAGGCCUUCCUCGGCCACGGUGGUGGGUCACAGGUACAGCAGUGCAAGGCCUUCCUCGGCCACGGCGGUGGGUCACAGGUACAGCAGUGCAAGGUUUUCCCAGGUCACAGUGGUGGGUCACAGGUGCAGCAGUGCAAGGCCUUCCCCAGCCACGGCAGUAGGUCACAGGUACAGCAGUGCAAGGCCUUCCCCGGCCACAGCGGUGGGUCACAGGUGCGGCAGUGCAAGGUUUUCCCAGGUCACGGCGGUGGGUCACAGGGGCAGCAGUGCAAGGAUCACCCGAGGCCAGGAGUUGGAGACCAGUGUGGGCAACAUAGUAAGACUCCAGCUCUACAAAAAAAAAAAAAAAUUAGAAAAAAAAAA